rnacentral:rRNA from 1 species
UGAAUACGAGAUGCUACGGCGUCGAAGCAGUCUAUGUCAUACUUCCAAGAAAAGCUCGCACUGUCAUAAACAAAUAAUGCCUGUACCAUAACCGACACAGGUGGGUAGGUAGAGUAUACUAAGGGGCGCGAGAUAACUCUCUCUAAGGAACUCGGCAAAAUGACUCCGUAACUUCGGGAGAAGGAGUGCCUUAUUUAUAAGGUUGCAAUAACAAGAUCCAAGCAACUGUUUAUCAAAAACACAGGUCUCCGCUAAGUCGUAAGACGAUGUAUGGGGGGCUGACGCCUGCCCAGUGCCAGAAGGUUAAAGAAGUUGGUUAGCAUUCGCGAAGCUGAUAACUGAAGCCCUGGUGAACGGCGGCCGUAACAAUAACGGUCCUAAGGUAGCGAAAUUCCUUGUCGGGUAAGUUCCGACCCGCACGAAAGGCGUAAUGAUUUGGAUACUGUCUCGGAGAGGGGCUCGGUGAAAUAGACUUGUCUGUGAAGAUGCGGACUACCUGCACCAGGACAGAAAGACCCUAUGAAGCUUUACUGUAACUUGAGAUUGAAAUUGGACUUUACUUGCGCAGUAUAGGUGGGAGGCGUUGAUAAUAUUCUUGCGGGAUUAUUUGAGCCAUCAGUGAGAUACCACUCUUGUAAUGUUAGAUUUCUAACUUUGUAUCAUUAUCUGGUCAAAGGACAGUUUCAGGCGGGCAGUUUGACUGGGGCGGUCGCCUCCUAAACGGUAACGGAGGCGCACAAAGGUUUCCUCUGAACGGGUAGAAAUCGUAUCUAGAGUGUAAAGGCAUAAGGAAGCUUGACUGUGAGACCUACAAGUCGAGCAGGGACGAAAGUCGGUCUUAGUGAUCUGACGGUGCUGAGUGGAAAGGCCGUCACUCAACGGAUAAAAGUUACUCUAGGAUAACAGGCUGAUCUCCCCCAAGAGUUCACAUCGACGGGGAGGUUUAGCACCUCGAUGUCGGCUCAUCGCAUCCUGGGGCGGUAGUACGUCCCAAGGGUUGGGCUGUUCGCCAAUGAAAGCGGUACGCGAGCUGGGUUCAGAACGUCGUGAGACAGUUCGGUCCAUAUCCGGUGUAGGCGUUAGAAUAUUGAGAGGAGCCUUCUUUAGUACGAGAGGACCGAGAAGGACAUACCUCUGGUGUACCAGUUAUCGUGCCAACGGUAAACGCUGGGUAGCUAUGUAUGGAGUGGAUAACCGCUGAAAGCAUCUAAGUGGGAAGCCCACCUCAAGAUAAGUAUUCCCAU